GUGGUUACGGCAACAUUUUCAAGGGCAUUUGGCGAAAGGGUAUACGAACAAAAAUGUUCAGCAACAAGCCCGAGGUUAUAAUCUCCAGUUGGUAGGUGGAGUGUUGAUGCCUGACUACUCAGGGUCCUAAAUCCAUCUAGCUUACUUAACCCUCAUUGAAGACUUGACGAUUGUGCAGAGUUGGGGCAGCACUUGCCUCUCAAAUCUUUACCACUAUCUAUGCCACGGUUGUCAGAUUGGUAAGGAAAAUAUGGGUGGGGCAUUCAUUCUCCUACAGCUAUGGGCUUGGGAGCAGUUUCCUUUUGUUGCUCCUGGACGUUUGAGUACUCGUCAGCAUCCACCAGGUUCUCCUCUUGGUGCACGGUGGGAUGAUCGUUUUCGCUCUCCGAAUUUGGCAACCCAUGUUAUUGAAUAUUAUAGAAAUUAUUUUGACAUGCAAAGGCCGGAUGAGGUGAUUUGAAGACCGUACAGCGAGGAGUUGAUUGCUAGUCUUCCUCCAAAUUGUCGUGCUGGAAGGGCAAUUUGGAUGGCGAAGGUCCCAUUGUUGAAUUUUUCAAUGGUGCAAAUGUACAUGCCAGAUAGAGUGAUGCGACAAUUUAAACAUCGACAGAC